UCCUACGGGAGGCAGCAGUGGGGAAUCUUCGGCAAUGGACGCAAGUCUGACCGAGCAACGCCGCGUGAGUGAUGAAGGUUUUCGGAUCGUAAAACUCUGUUGUUAGAGAAGAACAAGAGAAGUAGUAACUGGCUUCUCCUUGACGGUAUCUAACC
rnacentral:rRNA from 1 species